rnacentral:rRNA from 1 species
CGCCGCCGCGGUAAUACGUAGGUGGCAAGCGUUGUCCGGAAUUAUUGGGCGUAAAGGGCUCGCAGGCGGUUUCUUAAGUCUGAUGUGAAAGCCCCCGGCUCAACCGGGGAGGGUCAUUGGAAACUGGGAAACUUGAGUGCAGAAGAGGAGAGUGGAAUUCCACGUGUAGCGGCGAAAUGCGUAGAGAUGUGGAGGAACACCAGUGGCGAAGGCGACUCUCUGGUCUGUAACUGACGCUGAGGAGCGAAAGCGUGGGGAGCGAACAGGAUUAGAUACCCCCGUAGUCCCUGUCUCUUAUACC